AUAUAGGCUCGUGGUGGAGAGCGGUCAUGCACCAGUGAAAAAGGACGAUUCUACGAUUCCUUUUAAAACCAAACAACUCGGCAAUUAUUACAAACUAGUCGUUAACCCGUGGAAGAAUCCAUGGGGUCGCCUGUCCUUUAUAUAUCGCAUUUCAUGUUUUCGUAACAGGAAGCGUCUUUAAUGGCAGACAGACAGACGACGGCUAUUAUUAACUAGCCGUUAACCCGUGGAAAAAUCCACGGGGUCGCCCGUCCCUUAUAUAUCGCAUUUCGUGUUUCGUGUUUCUGUAACAGGACGCGGUUUUCGCGGACAGACAGACAAAAUACGGCUAUUAUUAAAGAGAAGAGAAGAAGGACAGCAGAAGCAUUCCUUCACUUCUUACAGAAUUUAAAUGCUUGUAACCGGAUUUUUAACAUGUCCACAACAGAUUGUGCGUUUUUAACAGCUUUUGUAAUUAAGAUGCAUCGAACCCGUUGAUGAUAAUUUCUGCUUCGUUGCUUAAAUAGUGGUAAAGUUGAACGAUUCAGGAAGCGUGGACUGGUUUUAAAUCUAACAACUUUGAGGAAAUCUUCACAUCCGCAGGAUCAAUGCCUCGUUUCAACUGAAUUGCCACUUGAUUUGAAAACUUUUUAUUGUACAAACUUUGUUUUAAUAAGAAAUAACAAAAAUCCAAAAUAAACAAAAUUUUCGUCGAACAAAAUUUUUCGCGGACUAAAAUGACGAAAACUUCAGGUGUCCGAAAAAUUUUGUCGGACAAAACUUUUGUCCGACAAAGUUUUCGUCCAAUUAGGUGAAAACACAGAAAACAGCCCGUCCAGCUAAAAAAAUCGCUCAGCAAUUUUAUUUUGCGGAAUAAGUCUGGUGUAGCUACCUGCUUUUGGCAUAAGAAUUACUAAUUAAGAAUUUUGUUGUAGCUGGCUAAACUGUAUCACACAUGCUUUUAGGCUUAAUACGCUUUUCAAAAAAACUACAUUGCAUCUUUGGUUUACAGAACACAGAAUACACUCUGUAAAAAGGCUAGGUAACUGUUACCCGCCGUUGAACACCCGGAUGAGUGAUUAAUAAGAGCCGUCAACUGCGCCACAUAUUCAGGUAAAGCGCUUUAGUAAAGUUAUGUAGUAUGUAGUAAAUCAAAUGAAGUGCACACAACUUUAUGGUGUGUCCAGUGUAAUAUGUUUUUUAUCAAAUAACUUUCCACAACUUAAGCUGAAAUAAAAACACAGAUUACAAUUUGUUGUUACCCCGUCAUAGCAAAAACUUUCUGGCAAACCUUUUUUAUUUUUCGGAUAAUGUUCCCGGUGAGUGUUAGCUGACCAUUUAGUACGGGUAAAUAAUGUGACACAUCCAUACAGAUGUAAUACCAAUUUACCAUGUCACACAUGAGUAUAGGCGUAACACUAUUUUUCAAAAGAACUUCAUCGCAAAUUCGGUUAAAAAAAGUCCAGGAAACCGCUGUUGUUAUCAUGUUCAGUUAAAAAAAUACUCAGCAAUUUUAUGUUGCACCAUAAGUUUUCAUAACAGUAAUAAAAGUGGUAUCUGCCUAACUUCAUUUAGCAUAAGAAUUAAGAAUUGUGUUGCAGCCAAACUGCAUUUGGCUACUUUCACUUUUUGGUCAGAAGUAGCUAAGGAGCUAGCUAGGUAAACACAACUUUAACAUAAAAAUAAAUAAUACUGGCUAGGAGAUAAAGCUGUUAUACUAAACUGAAUAGUAAUAACUAAGGCUAGCUAGCUAGCUGAUUGUAGAAUGCUCCUUAAAAAUCUUCGUUCCUAGCCAAAAAUCAAGAAAUUUUUGGGUUUGAGAUUUGUACUUAGCUACAAAACGUGAGAAUAUAUUUAUCUUAACAUGUAAAAAUAUGUAAAAAAACAAAAAUGAAAACCUUUUUGAAGACAAAAACAGAUUAACCGUCAAUGCCACAGCUUUUAAAAUGGCCGUAGCUCAGAUUGCUUUAUCUUUCCUUCAUUGGUAAAAAUCUGAUUCUGCGGGGUUUUCCCAAAAUUUUCUGAUAAAAGCCGCGCACAACCAUUUUGAAUAUACAGAAUACGGCUAUUAUUAAAGAGAAGAUGGACAACAGAAGUGAUAACCAUUAAAAGAAAUAAACUAACACUAAAUACACAAGAGAAAUCAGUGUCAUUAAGGCUUUUUAACUAACUAUACAUAGAUUUCCAUAGAUUGUAAUGGCAAUAUAAUGUGUGUUACGAGUAAGUUAUGUGUGUUUGAGAAUGUAUUUACAGUCUCUGUGGAUAAAGAAGUAAAAAAAUUGUUGGAAAAAAACUUCAUAAAAGACUGCAUGUAAUGAUUGCAUGAUCCUUCUCUAAAGUGACCCUGUUCAUUUAGGUGCAGUGAUGGGUUGUAUGAAGAAAAAAGUGCCAGCUUGUAUAAGAAUCGUGUUUUCAGUGUAAAUUUAGCUGAUUACUUAUACAAGACUAGUUGAUAAAGCCCAUGUGAAAAUCCACUAAGGCAGAAGAACAAUGGAAAAAUAGGUUGCUUUAGAUUUUUUGCCGACGUCAGCAGUGCAUAUACAAAAAGAAAAUUGGUUAAAAUUAGUCAUUCGUUGUCUGUAAGGUGUGGAGGUUGAAACGUUGACCAAAAUAAUGCAUGGUAUCGUAUGUUUUUGACAAACGCUUAGGGAGAUAUAAGGGCUUAAAAAUUUUUCUGACGUCAGCAAAGUCCCUACCAAAAGUUCCAAAAAAUUUCUUAAUUCGUACACCCGAUGCAUUCAUCGUAUAGAUCUUGAAAUGCAGAUCAAGAAAAUGUAUAGGAACAUGGACUUUUGACAAACGGUUGCAGAGAUAUUGGGGUUUGAAGGUUUUGUGAUGACGUCCUCAACCUUUCCAUUCCGAAACGGAUUCGGGGACCCAGGCUUGGGAAACUUACCCAAAUUGGUCCCGGGUGGUCCCUAGUUACUUACGUGGUGAAAAAUCACUGACGUCACCACCUCGUUUUCAAGUUAUUUGGCGGUUGCAGAGAUAUUGGGGUUUGAAGGUUUUGUGAUGACGUCCUCAACCUUCCCAUUCCGAAACGGAUUCGGGGACCCAGGCUUGGGAAACUUACCCAAAUUGGUCCCGGGUGGUCCCUAGUUACUUACGUGGUAAAAAAUCACUGACGUCACCACCUCGUUUUCAAGUUAUUUGGCCUCAAAGCUUUAAGUGCACUGUAAUGGCUUCAUUUAUUUAAUAUAGAAUAUUAACGUUAAAGUAGUCUUAUUGACGUCGCGCCGUAACGUCAGAAAAUUUAACAUAUUAGACAUGCAUUUUUCAGUUACUUCAAAGAAAAUUUCGGUAAGAUCAAAGGAAAAUGAACAUAUCCACUUUGCCUGUUAUAUAUAUAUAUAUAUAUAUAUAUAAUGUAUAUAAGAUAAAUGUUUAUCAUUCAUUUAUUUUUUAUGUUAAAAAAUAAUUAUUUGAGGAAACUUAUUUUUUUUAGGAAAAUCUUUGUAAAACAUUCACAUAACUAUUUAAGUAAUUUUGUUUAGAUAAAUGCUGUAAUGCCAAAAGGAAAAUACUGGGUUAGGCAGCCAAUGAGAACAGACAAAAGAUAUUGCCGACAGAAACGAUGGUGAAAGCAUUAGAGAACAAAGAAUCUUUACAACAAGUGAAGUGAAGAAACUCAAAGUCGCGAUAACCUAGAUUCACAGCAAGCAUGACGAAUUCAUGGUGGUUCAGUUAAAUUUAAAAUAUAAAAUUAUUGAUAGAUAGACAAUUGUCAACCAGGCCUUAACUUUUGCAAUCUUAAAGUUAAAGUCCAAUAGACAAGUAAAAAUUAGGGCCUAAAAAUAUUUUUCCGUUCGACUUCCUUUUGAAUAUUUUUCAUUUUGUGUCGUAGUGUAAAACGUUUGUAAUAUUUUUUUGCAUAUUGGGAAAAGCUGCCAAAAGUGAACAAAUCCAUAGUUCAGCUUGUUUUGAUUAACCACAAAAAAAGCUUAGGGAUGAAUUUCCCGUAUUUAAAAGCAAUCCAUACACAUUGUUUCAGUAAAUUCGGUCUUUGAAAAAAACACGUUUGGGGAGAUAAUUUACCCGCAUUAAGAAGCAAUCCAUACAAGCAAUCCAUGAUAUUCAGUUCUUUUAGUAAAUUCGGUCUUUAGAAAAAACAUUUACGGAGAUAAUUUACCGGUAUUAAGAAGCAAUCCAUACAUAUAAAAUUCAGUUGUUUUAGUAAAUUCGAUUUUUGAAAUAUAUAUAUAUAUAUAUAUAUGAACACAAAUUGUAGCUAUAGGAAUAACCAACAAGAUAGAUGACUACAUCAAGAAUUAAGUAAAAAGAUUUUAUUAUUUAAAAUUUUCGUCAGUUCAUCGACUGACUUCUUCAGUAUCGCUUACAAUACAGUAUUAACAAUUAAAAUAUCUUAUAUAGUGAUAAAAAUAAAUUAUAUACAAUUAAAUACACAAGGGUUUAAAACUGGUUUCCAUCACCAUCAUCCUACUAUCAACUUAACACACGGUUUCUACAACUUGCAUUUUUCUGUUCUUUUAGUUCUAUUCCAGUCAUGAGAACCAUUAAGUCCCUGAUGUUGUGUGACGAGUGUCCCUAUCCAGAAUUUUUCUUUAUCUAAUAGCAAACUAUCAAUUUGCCUGUUUGUUAAAUUCUCUCCAUUGUUCACAACAUCAACUAUAAUAAACCCAAUAUUUUGCACGGAGGCAUUAGCGCAUUCAUCAAUAAAAUGUUUCACAACUUUGCAAGAUGGUAUCUUCUUUUUAAUGUGGGAUUUGUAAUUCGAAAGUCGAGGCUUCCAAGCAAUGUAAAAAUAUAUAAAAAAACAAGGACAGACUUAGCAACGUCAACGUUACGCAACUUUCAAAAUGGCCGUAAUAACACUGCUCUCUGCUUUACACAUCCCUUUGUCGUGGCUGCAAAAUCUCGGAUUGGUUUUUCAAAAAAAAUCAGGCGUUGCAAUUGAAUGCUACACGCGGGAGAAUAAAACAAAGUCGGUAAAUAUAUAUCGCAUUUGGUAUUUUGUGCAGAUAUAAGAAUUUCGUGAUUAAUUAACAGGACGCGCUUUUCGCGGACAAACAGGCAAAAUACCGCUAUUAAUAAAAAGACUAACGAUAUCAUACGUCUAUUGGUUUUUCGGUCAGUUGCUCAUAAAGUUGAUCUUGUUAACUCACCAUAUGAUUUUUUAACAAUAGCCAAUAAUAAUUACAUUAUUUAGAACUAUUUUCAGCUUUUGUACUCUGAUCCUAACUUCAAUGGAAUAUCAAAUCUACGGAGACUCUUUAAAUGAGAUAAAUUUUAUACUUAUGCUUUUUGGAACAUCUUUGUUCCAUGUAAAUAGAAGUUUUGACUUUUAAUUUGGAAUUCUUCCAUCUUUUUCCUAAUGAUACGUUAUAUUACUGACAUGCCUUCUACAGAAUUUCAGCCUAAGAGCCUUUGCCGAUAAAAAGUUAUGACCUGUCAAAUUUUAACUACAAACAAUGGAAUAAUUUCAUCGUAAACGGCUCUAAACUUUAAUGUGAUAUAGCUUCUCUACGGCAGCAGCUUCUUCAGUCGGACAAAAAUCAUUGGAACAUUUAAAUUUUUAUGCAUCUAAGAAUUCAUUUGGUUUAAGAACUAAUCAAGCUAUACUAUUGAAAUACUGCACCGAAAAAAAGAAAUAAAAAACACACGUAAUGUCUUUGGAUUGAUUGGCCUGCUUUAGCGCUUUUGAUGCGUCAUUUUCAGGGAGGACACUUGUUUCUACUGCUGCACGGAUAAGUACAUAACAGUAAAGCCCGGUAAAUUUAUAGUAUAAUGCCUUGCCUCAGAUUUGCAUUUUUUAGGACUUGUGAUAUGUAAUUUCGCGGGGGUAUUAGUCCAAAAUAUCUUUUCUAUUGGCUAUCGGUGGGCAUAGAACACCACCGCCUGUUCAAUAUAUUGUACAAAAACGCCUCUUUGUUUAGCCUGCAAUAGGGCCGUUAUUAUGUCUUGUUGCAAAAGGAUAUUUGAGCGAAAUAUCGUUUCUGUUUGUGUAUGGAUGUGUAUCCAACCUCAAACUUUGUCUACUUUAUAAAAACAGCUUUCCGUAAAUGGCAGUUAUGCGAAAUAUUCUGGAAUAUUACGUUGGUUAUGGCCAUCGACAGAAAAAAUAUGUAGUUUUUAUGAAGCGACAGACAUUAUUAUGAAGGUAUUAUGCAGUAUUAUGCGAUAUUACGUUGGUAUGGCCAUCGACAGAAAAUUUAUGUACUUUUUAUGAAUUAUGAAGGUAUUAUGCAGUAUUAUGCAGUAUUAUGCGAUAUUACGUUG